UACGUAGGGUGCGAGCGUUGUCCGGAAUUAUUGGGCGUAAAGAGCUCGUAGGCGGUGUGUCACGUCGGCCGUGAAAACCUGCAGCUUAACUGUGGGCGUGCGGUCGAUACGGGCAUCACUGGAGUUCGGCAGGGGAGACUGGAAUUCCUGGUGUAGCGGUGAAAUGCGCAGAUAUCAGGAGGAACACCGGUGGCGAAGGCGGCAUCCUGGACCGACACUGACGCUGAGGAGCGAAAGCCAGGGGAGCAAACGGG
rnacentral:rRNA from 1 species